rnacentral:rRNA from 1 species
AGGACGAACGCUGGCGGCGUGCUUAACACAUGCAAGUCGAACGGUGAAGGAGAGCUUGCUCUCUGGAUCAGUGGCGAACGGGUGAGUAACACGUGAGUAACCUGCCCUUGACUCUGGGAUAAGCGUUGGAAACGACGUCUAAUACCGGAUACGAGCUUCAGUCGCAUGGCUAGGAGCUGGAAAGAAUUUCGGUCAAAGGAUGGACUCGCGGCCUAUCAGCUAGUUGGUGAGGUAAUGGCUCACCAAGGCGACGACGGGUAGCCGGCCUGAGAGGGUGACCGGCCACACUGGGACUGAGACACGGCCCAGACUCCUACGGGAGGCAGCAGUGGGGAAUAUUGCGACAAUGGGCGCAAGACCUGAUGCAGCAACGACCGCGUGGGGACGAAGGCCUUGGUUCGUAACUCGUUUAGUAGGAAGAGACGAAAGUGAGGUACCUGACGAGAAAAGCAACGG